rnacentral:rRNA from 1 species
GCAUAUCAAUAAGCGGAGGAAAAGAAACCAACAGGGAUUGCCUCAGUAACGGCGAGUGAAGCGGCAACAGCUCAAAUUUGAAAUCUGGCCGCAAGGUCCGAGUUGUAAUUUGUAGAGGAUGCUUUUGGCGAGGUGCCUUCCGAGUUCCCUGGAACGGGACGCCAUAGAGGGUGAGAGCCCCGUACGGUAGGACCACCAAGCCUCUGUAAAGCUCCUUCGACGAGUCGAGUAGUUUGGGAAUGCUGCUCUAAAUGGGAGGUGUACGUCUUCUAAAGCUAAAUACCGGCCAGAGACCGAUAGCGCACAAGUAGAGUGAUCGAAAGAUGAAAAGCACUUUGAAAAGAGGGUUAAAAAGUACGUGAAAUUGUUGAAAGGGAAGCAUUCAUGACCAGACUUGGGCUUGGUUGAACAUCCGGCGUUCUCGCCGGUGCACUCUGCCAGUCCAGGCCAGCAUCAGUUUGCCCCGGGGGAUAAAGGCGGCGGGAAUGUGGCUCCCUUCGGGGAGUGUUAUAGCCCGUCGUGUAAUGCCCCGGGGCGGACUGAGGAACGCGCUUCGGCACGGAUGCUGGCGUAAUGGUCAUCAAUGACCCGUCUUGAAACACGGACCAAGGAGUCGUCUUCGUAUGCGAGUGUUCGGGUGUCAAACCCCUACGCGUAAUGAAAGUGAACGUAGGUGAGAGCUUCGGCGCAUCACCGACCGAUCCUGAUGUUCUCGGAUGGAUUUGAGUAAGAGCAUACGGGGCCGGACCCGAAAGAAGGUGAACUAUGCCUGUAUAGGGUGAAGCCAGAGGAAACUCUGGUGGAGGCUCGCAGCGGUUCUGACGUGCAAAUCGAUCGUCAAAUAUGGGCAUGGGGGCGAAAGACUAAUCGAACCUUCUAGUAGCUGGUUUCCGCCGAA